AAAUAAUACUAACUCCUAAAAAUCAAGGGUACCUAGACCUAGACUUAGCUAAGACCAAAAAAUCCCUAGAGGAACAAAAGAAAAAGUUGGCGCAACGCAGCAUCUUCAAGGGAUGACGUAAACGAAGAAACGAAAUCGGAGAAGAGGGGUCUUCUUUUCGUGGAGAAGAACAAUAAUAGGAUAUAGAUCCAGAUUUAGCAUUAAAUAGUGAGUGCAAAACUACAUAAAUCAAACCCAUUUACUAAUGCUAUAAGCCUAUAAGGUAGCCCAGCAGUCUCGUUCUUGUUGUCAGCCGAUGAAUCAAUUGGAAGCUACAACUUUUCCCCUUAAUCAAUUUGAUGUUAAUGUUUACUCUGCCGUGAGAUCUUUUAAGAAUGGAUAUAACGUAUUUGAUGGAAUUUUCCGUUGUUAUGCAGUGGUGAUUGCGAUUAUUGUGGUUGUUGCUGAGACCGAGUGGGAUUUUUUCAUCAAGUUCUAGAAGGUUUUCCGGUGUCGAUUCGAGGUUCCGAUUUGUAAUUUCGGGGUUUCAGUCCAAGGAUUGUUGCUAUGUUUAGCCCGAUUGAUUUGCAAUUUUCAGCUUUGUUCGUCAAUAAAAGAUCCAUUUCUCAAUUUUUAUUCUCAUUUCAUUAUGUUAUAAUAGCUUGGUGCGCAUGUUGAUUUGGGAUUCUACGUUGUUUGAAUAGCAUGUCUUAAGUUUUCGUUUAAAUUAUUUUAAUUAGUUUUUAUUUCGAUUGUGAUGUAUAUAGUCUUUUAAUUGAAUAAUCAAUUUCGUGC
rnacentral:lncRNA from 1 species